rnacentral:misc_RNA from 1 species
AAAAAAGAACAUCAAAAAUCAAAUCACAUGUCAAGUCUCAGAAGUAAUCUUCAAAGCUUUAUUUUUUAUCCUAUACCUUGCAGCUCUAGGAAUAACCUGACUAGGACCAAAAUGAAACUGACCCGGACUCUCAGUCAUGGGUGGCCCGUCAUCAUACACAUAGCCCACAACCUUCCCACAAUUCAUACACAUCAUCUUAGUCCUUUUCCUCUGAAUUCCCCAAUAAUCAAGGGUUUCGAAAAAGGGUUUAAUUUUAUCUUCUUUCUCGAACUUGAAUUUGGAUGAAUCAACAGCGGAGAAAGAUAGAGUACCUUUAUUGCCGGCUUCGAAGUAAAAAUCCGGUGGGAAAAGAUAGUUGGUAUGGAGAUUGAAGUUUGUAUUGCACUCUUUACAACUGUAGAUUGAUGCCAUCUUUGACGGUGAAGGGGUUCGAUUGUGGUAAGGGGUUUUUAUGAAGAGAAAAAUUUGGGGAAGAUGAAUCGGGUUCAAAACCGCGUUCUCCGUGAAUUUGGGAAGGCGUUGAAAAGUCUGAUAAUCUAGACGUUAGGCGGCAAGAACAAGAUUUUCGGUCAUACCUAGGGCAAUGAAAAAUUCA